rnacentral:rRNA from 1 species
CCUACGGGAGGCAGCAGUGGGGAAUUUUGGACAAUGGGCGCAAGCCUGAUCCAGCAAUGCCGCGUGAGUGAAGAAGGCCUUCGGGUUGUAAAGCUCUUUUGUCAGGGAAGAAACGGUCUCAGCUAAUAUCUGGAGCUAAUGACGGUACCUGAAGAAUAAGCACCGGCUAACUACGUGCCAGCAGCCGCGGUAAUACGUAGGGUGCAAGCGUUAAUCGGAAUUACUGGGCGUAAAGCGUGCGCAGGCGGUUUUGUAAGUCUGUCGUGAAAGCCCCGGGCUCAACCUGGGAAUUGCGAUGGAGACUGCAAGGCUUGAAUCUGGCAGAGGGGGGUAGAAUUCCACGUGUAGCAGUGAAAUGCGUAGAGAUGUGGAGGAACACCGAUGGCGAAGGCAGCCCCCUGGGUCAAGAUUGACGCUCAUGCACGAAAGCGUGGGGAGCAAACAGGAUUAGAUACCCUGGUAGUCCACGCCCUAAACGAUGUCUACUAGUUGUCGGGUUUUAAUUAACUUGGUAACGCAGCUAACGCGUGAAGUAGACCGCCUGGGGAGUCGGUCGCAAGNUUAAACGCAAAGGAUUGACGGNNGAGACGNGCGAGACGACGACGAGGAGGAGG